rnacentral:misc_RNA from 1 species
GAUGAAGAACGCAGCGAAAUGCGAUACGUAAUGUGAAUUUCAGAAUUCAGUGAAUCAUCGAAUCUUUGAACGCAUAUUGCGCUCUCUGGUAUUCCGGAGAGCAUGCUUGUUUGAGUAUCAGUAAACACCUCAACUCCCUUUCUUCUUGAAAUGGAGCUGGACUUGAGUGAUCCCAACGCUUUAUUCAUAAAGUGGCGGGUUACUUGAAAUGCAGGUGCAGCUGGACUUUUCUCUGAGCUAUAAGCAUAUCUAUUUAGUCUGCCUCAAAACAGAUUAUUACCUUUGCUGCAGCUAACAUAAAGGAGAUUAGUUCUUGUGCUGACUGAUGCAGGAUUCACAAAGACCGCUUCGGCUGUCUUUGUAAACUCGAUCUCAAAUCAAGUAAGACUACCCGCUGAACUUAAGCAUAUCAAUAAGCGGAGGA